GCGGUUUGUCACGUCUGCUGUGAAAACCCGAGGCUCAACCUCGGGCUUGCAGUGGGUACGGGCAGACUAGAGUGCGGUAGGGGAGAUUGGAAUUCCUGGUGUAGCGGUGGAAUGCGCAGAUAUCAGGAGGAACACCGAUGGCGAAGGCAGAUCUCUGGGCCGUAACUGACGCUGAGGAGCGAAAGCAUGGGGAGCAAACAGGCUUAGAUACCCUGGUAGUCCAUGCCGUAAACGUUGGGAACUAGAUGUGGGGACCAUUCCACGGUCUCCGUGUCGUAGCUAACGCAUUAAGUUCCCCGCCUGGGGAGUACGGCCGCAAGGCUAAAACUCAAAGGAAUUGACGGGGGCCCGCACAAGCGGCGGAGCAUGCGGAUUAAUUCGAUGCAACGCGAAGAACCUUACCAAGGCUUGACAUAUACGAGAACGCACUGGAGACAGUGAACUCUUUGGACACUCGUAUACAGGUGGUGCAUGGUUGUCGUCAGCUCGUGUCGUGAGAUGUUGGGUUAAGUCCCGCAACGAGCGCAACCCUCGUCCUAUGUUGCCAGCACGUAAUGGUGGGAACUCAUGGGAUACUGCCGGGGUCAACUCGGAGGAAGGUGGGGAUGAGGUCAAAUCAUCAUGCCCCUUAUGUCUUGGGCUUCACGCAUGCUACAAUGGCCGGUACAAUGGGCUGCAAUACCGUAAGGUGGAGCGAAUCCCAAAAAGCCGGUCUCAGUUCGGAUUGAGGUCUGCAACUCGACCUCAUGAAGUCGGAGUCGCUAG
rnacentral:rRNA from 1 species